CCCGAAACGUCGAUUUUCCUUGGAUGCUGCCUGACCUGCUACGCUUUUCCAGCAACACAUUUUCAGCACCGUUUUAAAUGGACAGGAUGUGAAACUGCGAAAGAUUUUUAAUCACAGAACUAUUCCUGUACAGGUGAUUUUCAACUUUUUGCAAACCAUAGGCUUUAUGCAACUUGAUUUGAACCAUCAGACUUCACUGCGGCAUUGAAACAACUCAUAAUGCUCUACAUUGGAUUUCUGAGGAGCAGCAACAUCAUCAGCAGCAGAAUUAAACACAGUUUACUAGUAGCUUGCUUUUUUGGGCACCUUCCAUUGGACAAAACACAAUUUAUUGGCAAAGGAAAGCAAUACCACCAGUACAGAUAGCGGUGGUGGCUUCAGGAUAGCAAUGUGGUUAAGUUACAACUGGCCACAGGUUUGGCCAGCACCUUUCCAGUCAGGGAGUGCGGAUGUAUCGAUACAUAUGAAAUAAGGACUACAGCAGAGGUGAAGGCCGAGGGGAUCAGCGGGGUUUCAGAGUGCACAGCCAUCAGUGACGAAAGAUAGGGAUCUUUCCUGGUGACAAAGGAAGAAAUGGCAUUGCACAUGGAAAUAAGAAUCACUAACUAGGAUUUACAAUCACCACUAAUUAAAAAUCUGUGACUGGUGUCUUUUUUUCCUUUUUCCCCAUGUGAGUUCUAAAUCAUGCCUUUCGGUUCCCCCAGUUACAUUAACUGUGACACAGGAGCUGUAGCAUGACGAGAUCUGUGAGGCAAGGUAUGCUCAGAGGAAGUGCAUUCUAAGGAAUCAUUAUUACAUAACCCGUGAGCAUCCACUACUCGAUUAUAUACACACACCAAUGGGAUCAUGUUCAAAGAAUGACUGGAAACAGUGAGUGGCAAAAAUAGGCUCUUGUGUUUAGCAAUCACAGCAGAAGUUCGAUGCAGCACUAGCAUCCCAAUAUUCAGUUCUUACAAAAGCCCUUUUAUACACAGUUCUUACAUAUAUUAUAAUUCCAUUACUGUGGUGUUACUUUGUUUUAUCUAUAGUACACAAAGGUUUGAAAGGCUUCUGUCCUGGGAGACAGGAGAUGGGUUAAAACAAGUGCUGGCUGCUACUUCUGAUGGGAUUAACAGUGACUGUUUGGUCUGCUUGUAUAAUUAAGAGUUGUUAGUCCUUUUGUCUUUUAAGUUAGUAAAUGUUAGUAAAAACUAGGCCUAUGUGCUCUAAAUGCUUUAGAAAUUGUAUCUGUACUUAAUAAAAGAGUAAAGUAUAUUAAACUGAUUAC